AUGUAGACUCUAAUAUAAGCAAUAAUGUAGGUCGAUAUGUAUUGAGGAUUUGUAUAUUACAAGCAUUGAUCUGUACAUAGAAGACAACAGAUAUAUGUAGGGUUCUUUAGUAGCAUGCUCUGCUUGCGUGGGUAUUUGAAGCCGUUGAGGCUUUUAAGUGUUGCAGGAAUAAUGUUUAGAACCUCAUAGCUAUCCUUGGCUGAGUCAAGUUAGAAGAAGUACUCGAGGAACCCCA
rnacentral:lncRNA from 1 species